UGUCACGGUCAGCUGCCUUGAUAAACCAGGUUUCCUCCUCAUCGCUCUCAGUGUCACAAGCAUAAACACAAAUGCAUCUUGAUUGUUCAGUGUAUAACUGUUUAUAUAUGAAUGAUGCAUGCCCAUUCAUACAGGAUUUUUUUUUCAUGGUCUGAUUGCUAUACAUUUUUUGUUUGAACAGAAAUGCCAUGUUAAGAAUAAAGAUAU
rnacentral:misc_RNA from 1 species